UACAUUUUGAACAAAUAUUUUAUUACAUAUAUUAAUUUCGAUAUAGUUGAUUUAUUAUGAAACACAUUAGUCCAAGGCUAAUUGGUAACACCUAAUAAAUCGCUAAAAUUCCUGUUAACAACUAUAUUAGGGUUUUCCCGCGACGUUGGUAGCAAAAUCGUUUCAUUUAAAAUAAAAUAGCUAGAUUAACAGCAUUGUUCAAGUGGUGAACUUGGUUCGUUGAGUGUCACAAAAAAACUAAAAAAAGUAUUUAAAAAAUAUUAAAAUACGUAUUUAUUUAAACAAAAAAUUUCAUUUUUAUUUAAAUUAUAUUGCCCUUAAAAAACUUUAGCGUUUUUCAAAAUAAUUAUCAAGCUAAAUCAUUUUUUUUGCGUUUUUUUUUACAAAAGCGCGUGGGGCGUUCAUUGAAAGACUUGUAAAAAAGUCGGGCGUUAUCCCGCUUUUUUGUUUUUAUAACGAUUUUAUUGGCAAUGUAAGUACAAAUUAUGCUAAAUUCUUUAAUUGUUUAUGUACAUAAAAACAUAAUUAUUAUGUUCAUAUAGGUAUUCACAUUAAUACGAAGAAUAGUGCAAAUCUCUUGUUCUUCUGUUAGUCAUAAAGAACUUGUAUAUGGACAGAACUAAAUACUCGACUAUUGACAAGAAUACAAACUUGGCAGCAGUCAUAACUGUAGACUUGACUUGAUAAAAUUCUCGACUAAAAUCAAUAUG